AGCGAACGCUGGCGGCAGGCCUAACACAUGCAAGUCGAGCGGGCGUAGCAAUACGUCAGCGGCAGACGGGAGAGUAACACGUGGGAACGUGCCCUUUGGUUCGGAAUAACUCAGGGAAACUUGAGCUAAUACCGGAUAAGCCCUUCGGGGGAAGGAUUUAUUGCCAUUGGAGCGGCCCGCGUCGGAUUAGCUAGUUGGUGAGGUAAUGGCUCACCAAGGCGACGAUCCGUAGCUGGUCUGAGAGGAUGACCAGCCUCACUGGGACUGAGACACGGCCCAGACUCCUACGGGAGGCAGCAGUGGGGAAUAUUGGACAAUGGGCGAAAGCCUGAUCCAGCCAUGCCGCGUGGAUGAUGAAGGCCCUAGGGUUGUAAAGUCCUUUUAACGGGGAAGAUAAUGACGGUACCCGUAGAAUAAGCCCCGGCUAACUUCGUGCCAGCAGCCGCCGUAA
rnacentral:rRNA from 1 species